rnacentral:rRNA from 1 species
GAUGAACGCCGGCGGCGUGCCUAAUACAUGCCAGUCGAGCGAACGGACGAGAAGCUUGCUUUUCUGAUGUUAGCGGCGGACGGGUGAGUAACACGUGGAUAACCUACCUAUAAGACUGGGAUAACUUCGGGAAACCGGAGCUAAUACCGGAUAAUAUUUUGAACCGCAUGGUUCAAAAGUGAAAGACGGUCUUGCUGUCACUUAUAGAUGGAUCCGCGCUGCAUUAGCUAGUUGGUAAGGUAACGGCUUACCAAGGCAACGAUGCAUAGCCGACCUGAGAGGGUGAUCGGCCACACUGGAACUGAGACACGGUCCAGACUCCUACGGGAGGCAGCAGUAGGGAAUCUUCCGCAAUGGGCGAAAGCCUGACGGAGCAACGCCGCGUGAGUGAUAAAGGUCUUCGGAUCGUAAAACUCUGUUAUUAGGGAAGAACAUAUGUGUAAGUAACUGUGCACAUCUUGACGGUACCUAAUCAGAAAGCCACGGCUAACUACGUG